rnacentral:rRNA from 1 species
CCUACGGGAGGCUGCAGUCGAGAAUCAUUCACAAUGGGGGAAACCCUGAUGGUGCGACGCCGCGUGGGGGAAUGAAGGUCUUCGGAUUGUAAACCCCUGUCAUGUGGGAGCAAAUUAAAAAGAUAGUACCACAAGAGGAAUAGACGGCUAACGCUGUGCCAGCAGCCGCGGUAAUACAGAGGUCUCAAGCGUUGUUCGGAAUCACUGGGCGUAAAGCGUGCGUAGGCGGUUUCGUAAGUCGUGUGUGAAAGGCGCGGGCUCAACCCGCGGACGGCAGAUGAUACUGCGAGACUAGAGUAAUGGAGGGGGAAGCGGAAUUCGCGGUGUAGCAGUGAAAUGCGUAGAUAGCGAGAGGAACAC